rnacentral:misc_RNA from 1 species
AAAUGUCGUAACAAGGGUUUCCGUAGGUGAAUCCUGCGGAAAGGUCAUUUAUUGAGAUAGUCAGAAGCCUAUUAGGUCACCCAAAGCGCUUGAAAUAUUAGCGGAAUGGGCAGUAAUACAAUCGGCAUGACCGUUUGAAUCCAAGGGCAGCUAUCCACCCGUGUAUAUAUACUCUGUUGCUUUCCAGGGCGUCAUACCCCGGAGAGAACCCUAACUCUUGAAUUUAAUGGAACGUCUGAGUACUAUAUAAUAGUUAAAAU